rnacentral:rRNA from 1 species
CCUACGGGUUGCAGCAGUGGGGAAUAUUGCACAAUGGGCGCAAGCCUGAUGCAGCCAUGCCGCGUGUAUGAAGAAGGCCUUCGGGUUGUAAAGUACUUUCAGCGGGGAGGAAGGUGUUGUGGUUAAUAACCACAGCAAUUGACGUUACCAACAGAAGAAGCACCGGCUAACUCCGUGCCAGCAGCCGCGGUAAUACGGAGGGUGCAAGCGUUAAUCGGAAUUACUGGGCGUAAAGCGCACGCAGGCGGUUGAUUAAGUUAGAUGUGAAAUCCCCGGGCUUAACCUGGGAAUGGCAUCUAAGACUGGUCAGCUAGAGUCUUGUAGAGGGGGGUAGAAUUCCAUGUGUAGCGGUGAAAUGCGUAGAGAUGUGGAGGAAUACCGGUGGCGAAGGCGGCCCCCUGGACAAAGACUGACGCUCAGGUGCGAAAGCGUGGGGAGCAAACAGGAUUAGAUACCCGUGUAGUC